rnacentral:ncRNA from 1 species
GACUUGCACUGCGGGUGUUUUUGGAGGCUUUUGAGACGGUAUAACGACCGCUGGUGUUAACUGUCUCACCCUCCAAAGGCUGAGAUUACACCGCCACACUCGAACAAGAUAAUGCUUGCGUGAGAAAGUGCGUUACUAACCCA